CUCUAUCCCACUGGAAUCGCCUCACCUCGCCUCUGUUCGCCAUGGCCGCUUCGGUCUCUCCUUGGUCCCGGUGUGCCUAGCCCCUCUGCUCUCCUCCCGAGCUGUCCACGAGCUUCCCCUGGUCCCCGCGGUUCGCCCAACCCCUUGCCCCUCGCCGGUGCCGCGUGCUCCUCGUCCGGCUGCCGCGCGAUCCUUUCGGUUGCCUCCCCGUCUCGCCCAUCCCGACCCCCUCACUCCCUCUAGUCGCCACCACCAGCUUCCUCACCCUCCGGCGACUCUCCCCACGCUCUUCUCCUGCCAACGGAGCCACCAGGGCCGUCGUCCCCGCGUGCAACGACCGGCGCCCGCCCCUCUGUUCCCCUCGAAGUUCCGCUUCUUCUCGUCCUCCCCGGCGUCCAGUUCCUCUCUAAACGGGUGCGGCACGCCACCCUGAAGCCGCCGGUGCUCUCGUAUUGUCCUGGAGUGGCCGGAGUCGGCGGGGCCAGCGCCGGCAGCGCCCCUGUCCUCCUCCCCUGCUUUCUGUCGUGGCCAGGCACGGGUGGAAGAAGAAGACAGGGGAAGGAGAGAGAAGGAUAAGGUGGGCCCCGCAAGUCAUCCUCUGCCCGUUGACCCCACCACUGCCACGUCAUGGAUUUGUUUGCUGAAGAAAUAUUCACAGAUUGGUCCUUCUUCUUCCACACCUCAUAACUCCGCAACCGUAACUCCGAUUGAGCCCCUCCGAGAAAGAACUACCCGACGUUUCGUUCUGCGGCUUCACCGUACUUCUUCCCGGAGUCUCCGUCACCCCCAGGCAAGCCACAACAACCACUUGCAUGAUAGUCAUGCAGUAGCCAUGGUUUCCAACUUGAAUAUUUAAUAAAUGUCUGCUUGUUUUGAUAUGGUUAUCGUUGUUUCAGUGAUGCUUAUAGAUUCGUUUUCACGGUGAUACUAUGCUCUUUUGCAUCUUGUUAUCUUGCACUUAUUACUAGUAUUAUUGUUAUCUGUCAUACUUGAUAGUAGUUGAUAUGCAUAUUUAUGAGUUGUUAUCUAGUGUCGUUGAUAUGCAUGUUACUUUGUAUCCUGCUGGUUAUAUGUUUACUUGGUAGUAGUCUGGAUGAGUUCUUGCAUGUUAUUUAUUUAUGAUGCUAGUGGUCAUGAUAUGCUCAUGUGUAAUGUUAUGUCCGUCAGCUUACCAUGAUCAUCUGUUUAAUGUUUCAUUAUGGUUAUUCUCGAUGAAUAUGUUGCACCUCCAUGUUUAUGUUCAUUCAUGUUCAUGCGUUGUUAUUGCAUCAUGUUAUUUUAAUAUGACUCAACUUCUUACAUUCAAGUUUAAUUGGACUUAAUUGAACUUGAACAACUGUUGGUUGAGUCAUGGUGCCACCAUAUCGAGCUGACCAGUGCAACCACACUUACCUAGUGGGAAGGUCCUAACUGGGUCUAUUGU